rnacentral:rRNA from 1 species
GACGAACGCUGGCGGCGUGCCUAAUACAUGCAAGUUGAGCGCUGAAGGUUGGUACUUGUACCAACUGGAUGAGCAGCGAACGGGUGAGUAACGCGUGGGGAAUCUGCCUUUGAGCGGGGGACAACAUUUGGAAACGAAUGCUAAUACCGCAUAAAAACUUUAAACACAAGUUUUAAGUUUGAAAGAUGCAAUUGCAUCACUCAAAGAUGAUCCCGCGUUGUAUUAGCUAGUUGGUGAGGUAAAGGCUCACCAAGGCGAUGAUACAUAGCCGACCUGAGAGGGUGAUCGGCCACAUUGGGACUGAGACACGGCCCAAACUCCUACGGGAGGCAGCAGUAGGGAAUCUUCGGCAAUGGACGAAAGUCUGACCGCGCAACGCCGCGUGAGUGAAGAAGGUUUUCGGGUCGUAAAACUCUGUUGGUAGAGAAGAACGUUGGUGAGAGUGGAAAGCUCAUCAAGUGACGGUAACUACCCAGAAAGGGACGGCUAACUACGUG